CUGGAUUGGGUUGGAUUGGAUUAGUACACUGGAAUCAUGUAGCAUCAGUUGCCUAGUUUGAAUUGAGAUGAUCUGAUACCCUCUCCAUUUCAGAGUGAUUUAUUCUGAAAUGGAGUGAAUAAAUGCCACACUGUGCGUCAGAAUGACCUGUGCAUCAGAAUGGCCUGUGGCACUUUUUAAACAUACAGAUGCCUGAGGUACAGAUCUCAGUCCAAACCGACUGGAUCAGAAUCUCUAGAACAGUAGUUUUCACUCUCGAUGUGCAUUGAAUUCAUCUUUCAUGCAUAUUCCAGAUUCUUUUAUGUCAUUUAGCUCCUAGGGCAGUGGAGGGACAGGAAUCAAGAAGAGGGUAUGGAAACUGAAUGCACAAAACUGGAGGGAUUCCUAUGUUUACAAAAGUUAAUUUGGGCAUCUCCUGAGCUUGGCAGAAAAGGAUGAGGAUGAUGUUUCUGUAAAAUCUGA
rnacentral:lncRNA from 10 species